UUGAGAGAGUCAUAGGGGCUAUGAUGUUGGCUUGAAACCAUUUUUUGGGGGUUCAAUUCCUCCCUUUCUCGU
rnacentral:tRNA from 1 species